GAUGAACGCUAGCUACAGGCUUAACACAUGCAAGUCGAGGGGAAACGACAUCGAAAGCUUGCUUUUGGUGGGCGUCGACCGGCGCACGGGUGAGUAACGCGUAUCCAACCUGCCCACCACUUGGGGAUAACCUUGCGAAAGUAAGACUAAUACCCAAUGAUAUCCCACGAAGGCAUCCGAAUGGGAUUAAAGAUUUAUCGGUGAUGGAUGGGGAUGCGUCUGAUUAGCUUGUUGGCGGGGUAACGGCCCACCAAGGCAACGAUCAGUAGGGGUUCUGAGAGGAAAGCCCCCCANAUUGGAACUGAGACACGGUCCAAAACUCCUACGGGAGGCAGCAGUGAGGAAUAUUGGUCAAUGGGCGAGAGCCUGAACCAGCCAAGUAGCGUGCAGGAAGACGGCCCUAUGGGUUGUAAACUGCUUUUAUAGGGGAAUAAAGUGAGCCACGUGUGGUUUUUUGCAUGUACCCUAUGAAUAAGGACCGGCUAAUUCCGUG
rnacentral:rRNA from 1 species